rnacentral:rRNA from 1 species
UGGCUCAGAGUGAACGCUGGCGGUAGGCCUAACACAUGCAAGUCGAACGGCAGCACAGGAGAGCUUGCUCUCUGGGUGGCGAGUGGCGGACGGGUGAGGAAUACAUCGGAAUCUACUUUUUCGUGGGGGAUAACGUAGGGAAACUUACGCUAAUACCGCAUACGACCUACGGGUGAAAGCAGGGGAUCUUCGGACCUUGCGCGAUUGAAUGAGCCGAUGUCGGAUUAGCUAGUUGGCGGGGUAAAGGCCCACCAAGGCGACGAUCCGUAGCUGGUCUGAGAGGAUGAUCAGCCACACUGGAACUGAGACACGGUCCAGACUCCUACGGGAGGCAGCAGUGGGGAAUAUUGGACAAUGGGCGCAAGCCUGAUCCAGCCAUACCGCGUGGGUGAAGAAGGCCUUCGGGUUGUAAAGCCCUUUUGUUGGGAAAGAAAUCCAGCUGGCUAAUAACCCGGUUGGGAUGACGGUACCCAAAAGAAUAAGCACCCGGCUAAACUUCGUGCCCAGCAGCCGCGGUAAUACGAAGGGGUGCAAGCGUUACCACGGAAAUUACUGGGGCGUAAAGCGUGCGUAGGUGGUCGUUUAAGUCCGUUGUGAAAAGCCCUGGGCUUCAACCUGGGAACUGCAGUGGAUACUGGGCGACUAGAGUGUGGUAGAGGGUAGCGGAAUUCCUGGUGUAGCAAGUGAAAUGCGUAGAGAUCAGG